AACUGCCAAGCCUGGCAGGGGCUAGUCAGCGGCAGCCUUGGAGCCCAGUUUCAGGGAUGCCAGCCUUUUCUUGAGGCCCUGCACCUCAACUGAGUAGGGCCAACUUCAGGCCCUGCUGGUCUAAGCCAGUGUGGGUCAGGGGCAGCCUGAGCCCCCUGUGACCCUGGUGUGGCCAGUGGAGGUGGGUGGCUGUGUGCUGGGACUGACCCCCCAUAAGUGUCAGCAGCAGAGCUAGGGCAGGGAGGGGGCGUGGGCAGCUGGUCUGCUUUCCACAGAGCCUGGCAUUUGGGGCCCUACUGGGGGAAUGCAGCCCACACACACGAGCCCUGCUAGCUGGAAAGGUUGAGCUAAGGUCCUCAGUGAGGCGUGGCCAAGGCCUUCUCAGAGACAGCAUGGUGGGAGGCUUAGCUUCUCUUUAUGCAUGGCCUGUGAGCUAAGAAUGGCUUUACAUGUGUGAAAGCUUGUCUUAUAAAAAAGGCAGAGAAGAAUAUGCAGCAGAGACCGUAUGCAGCUUGCAAUGCCUGAAACGUUUACCCCCUGGGCCUUUACAGAAAGGUUUCCUGAGCCCUUUCUGCACAAGGGGGAGGAUGUACAUGGGGCUGACCCUCUCCUAGGAGCUCCGGGAGGGCUGAGGAUGGGAGCUUGAGCUGACUUGCACGUGGGGGAGAGAGCUAUGGAUGUGGAUCCACCACCCAUUACUGCAUGAGCAAGGCAAGCCCCUGCCCCUCUCUGGCCUCAGUGGGUGAUGGCCUCUUUCUCACAGGAAGGCAGGAGGGCUGGAUGAGAUCACUGCUGUCACAGAGUUGAGCAGGCCUGGCCGGGGGGCCCACCGUCUCUGCAGCCAGACCCGUGACCCUCGGGCCUGGGAGGGAGAAGACUCCCACACUCCGUUUUGAAUUAGCCGUAUUUUCCACCGGCUGCCUGAGUCUGGAGGGACCCAGCAAGACGAUGUUCCAAGCUUAGUAACGUUUCAGCUCUAAUGAGCUGGAAUUCGGUGGUUUCUUUUAAUCCCACUGUGUUUACCUCAAUCAGCGAUCGAAGGUUGGCUGGGAUGGUUGUCAUUUUUUUCUGUGAUUACAGUUCUG
rnacentral:lncRNA from 1 species